CGCCACAUCCCGUCUUCCUCACUCGCUCAGCACCACAGGCGCUGGCGCGCCGCACCCCCUAUUCCUCCCUUCUCCUCGUCCGGAUAGCCGCUGGCCGCCCCACUGCUUCUCCCCCUUCCUCCUACCUCCCUUAUCACCACUACCUCCGGCCCUGCCCCCAAUCCACAUCCGCCUCCUCCCUCCCUUCCUUCCAGAUUGGGGAGUAAGAUCACAGGCGGCAAAGCAUGCGGUCGAUGGCAGCGGCUGGACGAGGAGCAUGGAGGCGACCGGGGCUGCUGGACAGUAGGGGUUCGCCGUGGUGGUCCAUGCCUGGGAAGAGGGCGACAUCUUCCGGCGACAAGAAGCGGCCCCGGUGCCAUCGUCCUCGGUACAGGUGCAACGCGGGAUCCUGAGAUGGUUACUCCGACUCCGUUGCCGCCGUCCUUUCUCCAAAUCAGGCGCGGAUUAGCCGAGCCCGGUGGUGAGGUGAAGGAGCAGGGUGGGCGGCCCAUCGCGAUGGGAUGGGGCUAGGGAAGAGGGAGGAGGCGGAAGGGUGAAGGAGCAGGCCGGCCCUCACGGUCACAGAGGCGCAACAGCUGUCCAGGGUCAUUCGCCGUUACCGGCCUCACUCGCCUCGUCUCCUAUCUCCUCACCACUGCAUCCAUGUGAAUUUUUGGAGAAUGGUGCUCCGAUUUGGUCCCCAUGCUGCAGGCCUGCAACAUUUAUAGAGGAGGAUUGCGGGUGUCGAUACAAUGGAGCAAUUUCUGGCUUUGUAGUUGGAGCAUAGCCUCGAUUAUGCAUGAUUUUGGGCAAUUGGAUGUUAAUCUGCUAUGGGCAGCGGCGGUGCAUCAAGGUGCAAGGCAGCAGCGAGAUGUUCAUAUUACGCUAAAGGAUGAACUCCUACUUUUUCUGAUGCUAGCUCCUUGCUGCAGAUAUACCAGCCUGCUUACAUCUCCCAAGAUAUCCUCUUGGUCAAGGCAAUUGCACAUGAUGAAGCCACUCAUUUUAGUGGUACACCACACUCUGAGCAAUAGGACCAAAAACAGGAAGAUAAAUUUUCACAAUUCGAUUCUUCAUAUUUUCCAGAAGUACGGCCACCUUCUGCACAGUGCCCUUGCAUUUGUGUUCUUAUCAAAUGAGUUUCUUUCCGUAGAAUUUGUUCAGGAUAUACAUUGUGCUUAAACAUGAGUGCUCGCUCACCGAACAUUUGCCCUCGGAUGAAUUCGACGCUUGAAUCGAGCUGACGAGCCCCAUAGGGGUGAGAGGCGGAUAACAAUAUGAGAAGGAGCAUGCCAUCGAGGAGUGCAAGCAGCGGCACUCCUCCGCAAUGGGGUAUGGCUGCAGGGGAGGGGACGCGGCCGACAACAGGAAGAAGGAGCAGGUCAUCGAGGACUACAAGCAGGAGGAUUAUUUUUGGCCCAUACAGUUUCCUUUGACUGGAAGUCUGAAACUGAAGAUAGGGCAUAUUGUUUUGGUUCUGAGUGGCCGGAGAUAUUGUGGCUUGAUGUCCCUAGAGCAGUCGGACCCUUCCAAGAUAGAAGAUCUUUGGGAUUGACGUUCUGAUGAGAAAGUAGCAUACGCAUGGAUGGACAUGAACUAUUCAGUGGUCGAACUGCGUUAUAUUUCUUCCAUUGAGGCGAGGGUGAUUCCAGUAGAUUUUGCUUGGCGUAUUCGCAUUUUUUUAUUGAAGUUGGGUGUCCGUCUUCUCUGCCGCAAGGUGAGCUUAUCCCAUUUACUUUGUUCAAUCCAGAGUCAAGAUUCAUAUCCCCUUCACUGUCAUUUCAUUUGUGAGAAUUUAUUCCAUUGAUCCAUGUUGUCGGCAUCCUGACAAUUUAUAUUUUUCUGCUGAUCACAAUUGCUUCUGAACA